rnacentral:rRNA from 1 species
UACGUAGGGUGCGAGCGUUAAUCGGAAUUACUGGGCGUAAAGCGUGCGCAGGCGGGCUUUUAAGGCAGACGUGAAAUCCCCGGGCUUAACCUGGGAAUGGCGUUUGGGACUGGGAGUCUGGAGUGCGGCAGAGGAGACUGGAAUUCCUGGUGUAGCAGUGAAAUGCGUAGAUAUCAGGAGGAACACCGAUGGCGAAGGCAGGUCUCUGGGCUGACACUGACGCUCAUGCACGAAAGCGUGGGGAGCAAACAGG